rnacentral:rRNA from 1 species
CGAUUGAUGGCUCAGUGAGGCCUUGGGACUGGCUCAGAGAGGUCGGCAACGACCACUCAGAGCCGGAAACUUGGUCAAACUUGGUCAUUUAGAGGAAGUAAAAGUCGUAACAAGGUUUUGUCUUCUAAGUGGUGAAGAUGAUCAUUCUUUUAAUGAUCCUUCUACAGUAAAACUUACGGAAGCCUUUGCGUCCCGAAAGGGUCGGUCUCGUACGACUAUAAACAAAUAAUGACGAGCCAUAAUCGCAAGUCUGGCCUUUAGGGGCCGGGCAACACUGUCAAAUUGCGGGAACACCCUAAAGUCUCUUGCACUAAGCCAUGGCCGAAAGGCCAUGGUGGCCAGGGUAAUGCCCUCGGGUAAAGUCACAGCCAAGAGAAUAGAUCACCUGUCCUAGGUGUGAAAAUGGGCAAUCUGCAGCCAAGUCCUAAGGGCCACCGCCAACGUGGUGGCUACGGAUGCAGUUCACAGGCCAAAUGGUAGUGGGUGAGGCGAUGCCUUGCUUAAGAUAUGGUCGGGCCCCUUGGGAAACUUUGGGGAUAAUUUACUGAAUAACGCCGAUAACAUAAGAUGUCUUGAUGCCAUCUGCAAAAUUGGUGAAAGAACCGUUCCGUAGGUGAACCUGCGGAAGGAUCAUUA